GGGGAGAGGAGUCGCUGCACCAGAUGGGCCUUUCACUGUCUCCUUGUUCCGAAAUGAGAUGCAGGGAUGUCUCGACUGGGAAGCGGUCCAGAUCCGCUCUGGGAAGGUGUACUGCUCCACACUGCCUGCAUUAAUACCACCCGCACGCUCUGGCCUGUCCCUGGGCCCAGACUCACCAGCAGCACUGCAUAUGGCUUUUGAACGUACCGAGACCAGGACAGGGAGGAAUUGGCUCAUGUGGGGCUGAAAUGGGUUGGAUUUGGCUUAGACUCGAACUACCCAGGACCUUCAGCAGCUCUGGAAAAUUUUCAGCCCUGGUGCUGGUCUCCACUGCAACUUUCCUCUCCGUACUUGCUUGAGCACAGUGCUGAAGACCAGACAGUGGCUCUCCAGGCAUAUAUGUAUCUGGGUGAUGUUGUGCAGCAAGUGACAGUGUCUAGGAAACAUCCCCAGAACAUCACAAAAAUAUCUGCGCUCCUGAUUUGGGGAGAGGAUGUGCUGCAUGGCCCAGAGGAAGCUCACGAGCAUCUCUCACCUGAGGAACCAGCCACCAAAUUUGUCGACAGUUUACAUGGUACACAGGAGGCAACUCUGCCCUGGGCAGGCCAGGAAAGAUGCUGGGCUCCACAGCUUCCUUUUCUGUUGACUGGCAAGAUGGUGCUUUGUCAGGUAACUGCUGUCACCACCAACUGCAGAGCUCAUUGCAUCUAGAGUAUGACACCUUCUGAGCUGCUUCUUUUAUGCGUUAACCUACUUGGAAACAGAGGCUCAUGUGCAAAUUCCCACUGUAUUUUGUGAAGGCUGGAACAUAAGCCAGAUCUGAGCUGAGUCUCCCCUUCCAAGAGCCAGCUGAAUCAAAAUCCCCUGAUGCAGACAUCCCCAAAUUUUAUGGGUGCAAAAGACGUCUUGAUCCAAAUUUUGCAGUUUGCUCCCAUCUCUGCUUAAAACAUAAAAUGUAUGUUUUUAGGGAAAAAGGAUAUAAACAUCUUGUUCAUGUUUGAGCUGAGAAUGUCUUUUUUCUGUAGGCUGUCAACACAACUUCAAAUGCAUGCAGCCUGUCCAAUCUGACAGACAAUUUGCAUAUUUGUGGAAUGCUAACGCCAAGUUACUGUAUACAUUUGUACAUGCAAGCAUUAGAAAGUUUGAAGGAUUAAAGGUGGAAAUGUAUCCCUCUCAGCCUCAAAGAUCAAGACAGUGCAUCAGUAGAUGGCAGACAAAUAACUGCUGGUUUGCCAUUUGGAAUGGCUUCCCCAAAAAAUAAUAACUUAAAAAAAAUCUGUGCUACUUCCUAGGAUGUUAAUAGCUGAGGGCUUUACACGUACUAAUUGCUGGAGCAUUGUUUCAGCCAUUUGAGAGUGUAAUGUGGAGUCUGGCACAUUCAGUGUGAGCCCACUGACACAGUGACUUUGUUCUGCAUGACUGAGAUGCAGCUCAAGCUCUGAGGGCCGCCCCAGUGUAAAUGUCACUGUCUAGGUCUGCACCUUCCUCUGCUUGAUUUCAGGAGGUGCUUGACCUGUACGAAAGUGACUUAGUUUGCAAUGAGAUGGGCAUUAGGAAGAGCAGCAGCAAUUGCUCAAUGGUUUUCUGUAGAAAGAUGUUUGCUUGUCUGCAUGCAUCAAGAUAUAUUCUGGAGCCUGGGUCUAGACACACUGAUUUGAAAAUGGAGACUUUGAGUCUUAAAAACAAAAUAUGCUGAAGAACAGUUUUGCAUGAUUCCUACCUAAGGAUCAAAAACUGAUAUUUAUUUUACUUUUUACUAAAAGUAACUUCAAUAAGAUGUUCUGUGUUGGCCAAUGGAUAUAAUUUAGGAUCAGACAUUGGCAGCACAGGACAGAGAAAGCAGGAGCUAGUCAAAUCUUUGUUCAGUCUUUGAUUCAAAACAUGAAUAUUGCUUUGAUUCAGAAAGGGGUUGGCCAGCCUUUUUCAUAAAUGGUUGCACGUCUCUGCGUUUUCUGGCGGGGGGAAGUGGAAGUGGCAACGCCUCAGAUACCUGGGAACCAAGAGCUGAAAACUCUCCUGGAAACUUCUCAUGGUCUAACGAAAUUCCCGGGCCAGGUUCCAGCCUGAGCGGAUGCAGACAACCAGCCAAACUGAACCACCAAAUCUGUCGAGAUGCAGCCGUCAUUUAGAAAACAGGGCUGGGAGUUUGUAGGAGCUGAACAUCCAAAUCCCUCUAAAUCUCUGUGGGGCUUUGGUGCUUUUGUUGUACUCUAGCAAAAAUCCUUGUCUAGUCUUCAAAUAUGUUGAAGACCUCAGGCGUUGUGGGCAUGCCUCUCCAAUUCGCCAAAAUUACAAAAGUACCAAAUUUUAACUGUUUGCUCAAAGCAUGUAAUUUAGCAAACCCGCCCCAAAAGCCCCAGGUUACUCCAAAACUCUUCGGUGUAAAAAUGGAGGGUCACGUGCUACCAUCAGAUAGGUCAGACUCUGGGUAUCCCAAUUUGAGCAAUGUCAGCCUUAAUGCAUUCAGAAGUGGCGUGUUGUUGUUUUAGAGCACAUUACUCAAAGGCUAAGAUGCCUUUCUACUGGGAGCAGUGUUAGGGAGCUGAUCUCUGCUUGGAUGCCCAUUCCAACAUGGAUCUGACAAUUCACAUGUAGGAAAAGCCCUUUCAUGCAUUCACAGUUUUAGAUGGCCUCCAUAUAUUUGUUUAAAAAAUAAUUAGGCUUGCUUAGCUCUUGUACUGUUGCGUUUUGCUCUUUUUUUUUUUUAAAGUAGCUUUUCCUGUAGCUCUCCCAGGCCAGUACAGUGCUGGCUUUUAAAAGUGAUUUGUCUGUUACCAGUUUUAAACUUUUACUUCCUAAGUCCUUGUGAACCAGCAAUACAAGGAGACUAAAAAUCUCCUGGGGAUUGUUUUUAUAGCAACAGUGAAAGCUAAAAUGUUGCAGCAGCAGCCAAAUUAUUUUUCUUGUAGUGGAAACAAUACCAACAACUGGAGUCUACAUACAAAAUAGUUUAAAGCUACCAUAAAUAUGACUAACAAAUGAGUGCUACAUUUCUUUUUAUCAUUUAUUCUUUAUAAAAAGUGACAGUUUGAAGGCUACUAAUUUGGCAAGUUAUUUCCCCUCUAUAGUCAUGGUUGUUCAGUAAUUAAAGGUUAUAUAAAACAUGGAUGUAUACAUAUUAGUACAGUCUGGCAGUUUUGUGUUUUAGGAGGCAGUCGAGUUUUCCUCACUCAGUACUGGAAAAGUAGGUAGGCAUGACUUCUUGAAUACAGUUUAAGUUGAACCUUUAAAGUAUUGUUAGUUACUAAUGCUAAUUGUUGAGAGUUCUUAGUCAUACCUGAUCACCUUAGGUAAGUAGUUACUUUAAAAGUCUAUUUUUAAAAAUGAUACUUGGCAUCUCAGCACCCUGUUCGUUCCUGAAAAUGACACUGAAGUUCUUAAGUCACUGAGGCUAGUUUUGAAAUCAUUUCUCGGUAUUUCAUCAUCUAUUUGCUGGCCAUGGCCCUCUCUGUAUCUGUAAGUAGUAAAAAUACAUAUGUGUAUGCUACUCCCUCUGAAAGAAAAGAGCUAAAAAUAAUGCAGGGCUUAGUUUAGUCAACACAACGUCAAAGCAGAAGACCAGUUCUGCAAGAAAAUUAGUUCAAGAACUGAAAUAAGAGAGCAUAAAGCUCUGGCUGCGGAGCAGGGAAAUGCUUGAAAUGGGACUCCCAGAAGCUGUUGGUUGACCAUUGCAGUCGGUGGCUGGGCUCCUAGCAGCAGGGGCUCAGGGAAAAGUUAGGCAGAUGCUUGGGUGUUGUGAGAGGGGGUACCAGGGCACGUGUCCAUCUGUCAGGACAGGCAGUGCAGGAGAUAUCUGACUCCGGUUACUUGAUCUCAAUUAUUUAACCUGCCCAAAUGAGAUAUUGGGAGCAAGGGCAAGUGUUUGAUAUGUGGGCCAUGUGGAUGUACUCUGAAUUAUUCGGUCUCUUGUCAGUGUGCAAAGGCUCGUCUGGGUGUCCAGAUUAUGAUGUUUAAGCUGUGCGUUUGGAGUUCGUGAGGUCCUAUAGAAAAGGAAAAAUGGCACAUAGUCUGAAACUUCCCCAAAGUCUGCAUUAACUAGUAAUUAUGUACUAAUUUGAAUCAGUACUGGCAAGGGGGGGGGGAGGUGCCCUUGGCCAUAAUUCCGAGAUUAAGCUGAUAACUUUCCAAACCCAAACUGGUUCUGAGUACUUUUCAAAAUGGCCACCAAUACUGUGAGAAACUCUGUCCCAGUGUAUAUAAAACAUAGCAGAAUAAUAUCUCAUUUGAUUAUACAAAGUCGUUUUUUCCUUAGUGUUUUAGUUCUCAAAAUUCCCAGAAUACACUACAUUGAAACUGUUCACUUGAGAAAUUAAGUACCGUAUGUGAUAAGACAGUCAUGUGAAAUUUUUAAGCUGUCAUUAAAAACGAUUAUAAUUAGGACAAACUAUAUGAAAAUGCUUUAAAAUUGAGACCCUGGUGAAUUAAAAAUUAAGGGGUAUAUUAUGUAUUAUCAUGUUGAAGGGCAGGGAUUUACGUGUGUAACUCCCAUUAACACUAAUGUGAGUUGCAUUCAUAAAUCCCCGUGCGUUGUGCUGAGCAUACACCCCCUCGUUUGUUUUUGCUGAGCAGCCUCAGCUUUUGCAGUGCUCCAACACAGCACCAGUGCCUGCGGAGAAGGAGCCUAAAGCCACAGCAAAGUUCAAGCUGUUUUCUCUUACAAAAGUAGGCCCCCAGACAGAGCAAAAUGUAGUUUGUCUAAGCAGUGUC
ensembl:lncRNA